rnacentral:rRNA from 1 species
UGGAUCCAGACUUUGAUUCUGGCUCAGGAUGAACGCUGGCGGCAUGCCUAAUACAUGCAAGUCGUACGAGCUACUUCGGUAGCUAGUGGCGAACGGGUGAGUAACACGUAGAUAACCUGCCCAUACCCGGGGGAUACGCUUUGGAAACGAAGUCUAAAACCCCAUCGGAAACCGGAAGGCAUCUUCCGGUUUUGAAAUAAGCUUCGGCUUAGGGGAUGGAUGGAUCUGCGGUGCAUUAGCUAGUUGGUGAGGCAAAAGCUUACCAAGGCGAUGAUGCAUAGCCGGCCUGAGAGGGCGAUCGGCCACACUGGGACUGAGACACGGCCCAGACUCCUACGGGAGGCAGCAGUAGGGAAUUUUCGUCAAUGGGCGCAAGCCUGAACGAGCAAUGCCGCGUGAGUGAGGAAGGCCUCCGGGUCGUAAAGCUCUGUUGCGAGGGGAAAAGGAACGGAAGAGGAAAUGAUUCCGUUUCGAUGGUACCUCGCCAGAAAGUCACGGCUAACUACGUGCCAGCAGCCGCGGUAAUACGUAGGUGGCAAGCGUUAUCCGGAAUGAUUGGGCGUAAAGGGUGCGCAGGCGGCAUAUCAAGUCUGAAGUGAAAGGUACGGGCUCAACCUGUACAGGCUUUGGAAACUGGUAUGCUCGAGGACAGGAGAGGGCGGUGGAACUCCACGUGUAGCGGUAAAAUGCGUAGAGAUGUGGAAGAACACCAGUGGCGAAGGCGGCCGCCUGGCCUGUAACUGACGCUCAGGCACGAAAGCGUGGGGAGCAAAUAGGAUUAGAUACCCUAGUAGUCCACGCCCUAAACGAUGAGGAGCAGGUGUCGGGGGUAGUACCUCGGUGCCGAAGCUAACGCAAUGACUCCUCCGCCUGGGGAGUAUGCACGCAAGUGUGCAACUCAAAGGAAUUGACGGA